ACUAAGCGUACACGGUGGAUGCCCUGGCAGUCAGAGGCGAUGAAGGACGUGCUAAUCUGCGAAAAGCGACGGCGAGGUGAUAUGAACCUUUGACCCGUCGAUGUCCGAAUGGGGAAACCCAGUGUGAUUCGUCACACUAUCGUUAACUGAAUACAUAGGUUAACGAGGCGAACCGGGGGAACUGAAACAUCUAAGUACCCCGAGGAAAAGAAAUCAACCGAGAUUCCCCCAGUAGCGGCGAGCGAACGGGGAGCAGCCCGGAGUCUGAAUCAGCUUGUGUGUUAGUGGAAGCGUCUGGAAAGUCGCACGGUACAGGGUGACAGUCCCGUACACGAAAAUGCACAGGUUGUGAACUCGAAGAGUAGGGCGGGACACGUGGUAUCCUGUCUGAAUAUGGGGGGACCAUCCUCCAAGGCUAAAUACUCCUGACUGACCGAUAGUGAACCAGUACCGUGAGGGAAAGGCGAAAAGAACCCCGGCGAGGGGAGUGAAAAAGAACCUGAAACCGUGUACGUACAAGCAGUGGGAGCACCUUCGUGGUGUGACUGCGUACCUUUUGUAUAAUGGGUCAGCGACUUAUAUUCUGUAGCAAGGUUAACCGUAUAGGGGAGCCGCAGGGAAACCGAGUCUUAACUGGGCGUUAAGUUGCAGGGUAUAGACCCGAAACCCGGUGAUCUAGCCAUGGGCAGGUUGAAGGUUGGGUAACACUAACUGGAGGACCGAACCGACUAAUGUUGAAAAAUUAGCGGAUGACCUGUGGCUGGGGGUGAAAGGCCAAUCAAACCGGGAGAUAGCUGGUUCUCCCCGAAAGCUAUUUAGGUAGCGCCUCGUGAACUCAUCUUCGGGGGUAGAGCACUGUUUCGGCUAGGGGGCCAUCCCGGCUUACCAACCCGAUGCAAACUACGAAUACCGAAGAAUGUUAUCACGGGAGACACACGGCGGGUGCUAACGUCCGUCGUGAAGAGGGAAACAACCCAGACCGCCAGCUAAGGUCCCAAAGUCAUGGUUAAGUGGGAAACGAUGUGGGAAGGCACAGACAGCCAGGAUGUUGGCUUAGAAGCAGCCAUCAUUUAAAGAAAGCGUAAUAGCUCACUGGUCGAGUCGGCCUGCGCGGAAGAUGUAACGGGGCUAAACCAUGCACCGAAGCUGCGGCAGCGACGCUUAUGCGUUGUUGGGUAGGGGAGCGUUCUGUAAGCCGUCGAAGGUGUGCUGUGAGGCAUGCUGGAGGUAUCAGAAGUGCGAAUGCUGACAUAAGUAACGAUAAAGCGGGUGAAAAGCCCGCUCGCCGGAAGACCAAGGGUUCCUGUCCAACGUUAAUCGGGGCAGGGUGAGUCGACCCCUAAGGCGAGGCCGAAAGGCGUAGUCGAUGGGAAACAGGUUAAUAUUCCUGUACUUGGUGUUACUGCGAAGGGGGGACGGAGAAGGCUAUGUCAGCCGGGCGACGGUUGUCCCGGUUUAAGCGUGUAGGUGUGUGUUCCAGGCAAAUCCGGUUCACUUUAACACUGAGGCGUGAUGACGAGGCACUACGGUGCUGAAGUGAUAAAUGCCCUGCUUCCAGGAAAAGCCUCUAAGCAUCAGGUAACACGAAAUCGUACCCCAAACCGACACAGGUGGUCAGGUAGAGAAUACCAAGGCGCUUGAGAGAACUCGGGUGAAGGAACUAGGCAAAAUGGUGCCGUAACUUCGGGAGAAGGCACGCUGAUAUGUAGGUGAAGUCCCUGCGGACGGAGCUGAAAUCAGUCGAAGAUACCAGCUGGCUGCAACUGUUUAUUAAAAACACAGCACUGUGCAAACACGAAAGUGGACGUAUACGGUGUGACGCCUGCCCGGUGCCGGAAGGUUAAUUGAUGGGGUUAGCGGCAACGCGAAGCUCUUGAUCGAAGCCCCGGUAAACGGCGGCCGUAACUAUAACGGUCCUAAGGUAGCGAAAUUCCUUGUCGGGUAAGUUCCGACCUGCACGAAUGGCGUAAUGAUGGCCAGGCUGUCUCCACCCGAGACUCAGUGAAAUUGAACUCGCUGUGAAGAUGCAGUGUACCCGCGGCAAGACGGAAAGACCCCGUGAACCUUUACUAUAGCUUGACACUGAACACUGGUCCUUGAUGUGUAGGAUAGGUGGGAGGCUUUGAAGCGUGGACGCCAGUCUGCGUGGAGCCAUCCUUGAAAUACCACCCUUUAAUGGCUGGUGUUCUAACGUGGACCCGUAAUCCGGGUUGCGGACAGUGUCUGGUGGGUAGUUUGACUGGGGCGGUCUCCUCCCAAAGAGUAACGGAGGAGCACGAAGGUUAGCUAAUCCUGGUCGGACAUCAGGAGGUUAGUGCAAUGGCAUAAGCUAGCUUGACUGCGAGAGUGACGGCUCGAGCAGGUGCGAAAGCAGGUCAUAGUGAUCCGGUGGUUCUGAAUGGAAGGGCCAUCGCUCAACGGAUAAAAGGUACUCCGGGGAUAACAGGCUGAUACCGCCCAAGAGUUCAUAUCGACGGCGGUGUUUGGCACCUCGAUGUCGGCUCAUCACAUCCUGGGGCUGAAGUAGGUCCCAAGGGUAUGGCUGUUCGCCAUUUAAAGUGGUACGCGAGCUGGGUUUAGAACGUCGGACCAUUCGGUCCCUAUCUGCCGUGGGCGCUGGAGAAUUGAGGGGGGCUGCUCCUAGUACGAGAGGACCGGAGUGGACGCAUCACUGGUGUUCGGGUUGUCAUGCCAAUGGCACUGCCCGGUAGCUAAAUGCGGAAGAGAUAAGUGCUGAAAGCAUCUAAGCACGAAACUUGCCCCGAGAUGAGUUCUCCCUGAGACUAUAAGUCUCCUGAAGGAACGUUGAAGACGACGACGUUGAUAGGCCGGGUGUGUAAGCGCAGCGAUGCGUUGAGCUAACCGGUACUAAUGAACCGUGAGGCUUAACC
rnacentral:rRNA from 1 species